AGCGAACGCUGGCGGCAGGCCUAACACAUGCAAGUCGAACGAGCUCUUCGGACUUAGUGGCGGACGGGUGAGUAACACGUGGGAACGUGCCUUUAGGUUCGGAAUAACUCAGGGAAACUUGUGCUAAUACCGAAUGUGCCCUUCGGGGGAAAGAUUUAUCGCCUUUAGAGCGGCCCGCGUCUGAUUAGCUAGUUGGUGAGGUAAAGGCUCACCAAGGCGACGAUCAGUAGCUGGUCUGAGAGGAUGAUCAGCCACAUUGGGACUGAGACACGGCCCAAACUCCUACGGGAGGAAGGAGUAGGGAAUCUUGCGCAAUGGGCGAAAGCCUGACGCAGCCAUGCCGCGUGAAUGAUGAAGGUCUUAGGAUUGUAAAAUUCUUUCACCGGGGACGAUAAUGACGGUACCCGGAGAAGAAGCCCCGGCUAACUUCGUG
rnacentral:rRNA from 1 species